GGAUGAGGAAGGGGGCCAGUUGCAUCCCACUUUCACAAUGGGAAAGUGAAACGCACAAGCGCACCCAACCUCUCCAGCCCUCCCCGCCCGCCUCGCUCCCCUCCGCCCGUCCCCUCCCUUCCCCUCCGCGCCUCCCCGCGAGCGCCAGCGCUGCACAGAGGAACUCCGGAGAAGGAGGGCGAGGAGGAAGCGUUGCCGGAGCGCGCAGGGCUUGCCGCCGCCGCCGCCGCCGCUGCACAGGCUGCCGGAGCGAGCCCGCCGCGCGCCGUCCUCCCCGCUCUCCUUUCCGGGCGAGCCACGGGGAUGGGGCGGCCGCGGGAGCCCGAGCGCGCGCAGGAGCCGCCACCGCCGCCGCC
rnacentral:lncRNA from 1 species